GAUGAACGCUGGCGGCGUGCCUAAUACAUGCAAGUCGAGCGAACAGAUGAGGAGCUUGCUCCUCUGACGUUAGCGGCGGACGGGUGAGUAACACGUGGAUAACCUACCUAUAAGACUGGGAUAACUUCGGGAAACCGGAGCUAAUACCGGAUAAUAUAUUGAACCGCAUGGUUCAAUAGUGAAAGACGGUUUUGCUGUCACUUAUAGAUGGAUCCGCGCCGCAUUAGCUAGUUGGUAAGGUAACGGCUUACCAAGGCAACGAUGCGUAGCCGACCUGAGAGGGUGAUCGGCCACACUGGAACUGAGACACGGUCCAGACUCCUACGGGAGGCAGCAGUAGGGAAUCUUCCGCAAUGGGCGAAAGCCUGUCGGAGCAACGCCGCGUGAGUGAUGAAGGUCUUCGGAUCGUAAAACUCUGUUAUUAGGGAAGAACAAAUGUGUAAGUAACUAUGCACGUCUUGACGGUACCCAAUCAGAAAGCCACGGCUAACUACGUG
rnacentral:rRNA from 1 species